rnacentral:rRNA from 1 species
AUUGAACGCUGGCGGCAGGCCUAACACAUGCAAGUCGAGCGGAUGAAGGGAGCUUGCUCCUGGAUUCAGCGGCGGACGGGUGAGUAAUGCCUAGGAAUCUGCCUGGUAGUGGGGGAUAACGUCCGGAAACGGGCGCUAAUACCGCAUACGUCCUGAGGGAGAAAGUGGGGGAUCUUCGGACCUCACGCUAUCAGAUGAGCCUAGGUCGGAUUAGCUAGUUGGUGGGGUAAAGGCCUACCAAGGCGACGAUCCGUAACUGGUCUGAGAGGAUGAUCAGUCACACUGGAACUGAGACACGGUCCAGACUCCUACGGGAGGCAGCAGUGGGGAAUAUUGGACAAUGGGCGAAAGCCUGAUCCAGCCAUGCCGCGUGUGUGAAGAAGGUCUUCGGAUUGUAAAGCACUUUAAGUUGGGAGGAAGGGCAGUAAGUUAAGACCUUGCUGUUUUGACGUUACCAACAGAAUAAGACCGGCUAACUUCGUG